rnacentral:rRNA from 1 species
AACGAACGCUGGCGGCAGGCCUAACACAUGCAAGUCGAGCGAGACCUUCGGGUCUAGCGGCGGACGGGUGAGUAACGCGUGGGAACGUGCCCUUUGGUACGGAAUAGCCCCGGGAAACUGGGAGUAAUACCGUAUAAGCUCUUCGGAGGAAAGAUUUAUCGCCAAAGGAUCGGCCCGCGUUGGAUUAGGUAGUUGGUGGGGUAAUGGCCUACCAAGCCGACGAUCCAUAGCUGGUUUGAGAGGAUGAUCAGCCACACUGGGACUGAGACACGGCCCAGACUCCUACGGGAGGCAGCAGUGGGGAAUCUUAGACAAUGGGCGCAAGCCUGAUCUAGCCAUGCCGCGUGAGCGAUGAAGGCCUUAGGGUUGUAAAGCUCUUUCAGUGGGGAAGAUAAUGACUGUACCCACAGAAGAAGCCCCGGCUAACUCCGUGCCAGCAGCCGCGGU